GGGGACGACAUGGCUUCGACGCUGGUAACAAAACCAAAGGUGCAUGCCGAGUGUAUAGUGGCACUCGUACUCCAAUCGCUAUAACUCAUAGUUGCAAA
rnacentral:tmRNA from 1 species